rnacentral:rRNA from 1 species
GCGGUUUGUCGCGUCUGUCGUGAAAGUCCGGGGCUUAACCCCGGAUCUGCGGUGGGUACGGGCAGACUAGAGUGCAGUAGGGGAGACUGGAAUUCCUGGUGUAGCGGUGGAAUGCGCAGAUAUCAGGAGGAACACCGAUGGCGAAGGCAGGUCUCUGGGCUGUAACUGACGCUGAGGAGCGAAAGCAUGGGGAGCGAACAGGAUUAGAUACCCUGGUAGUCCAUGCCGUAAACGUUGGGCACUAGGUGUGGGGACCAUUCCACGGUUUCCGCGCCGCAGCUAACGCAUUAAGUGCCCCGCCUGGGGAGUACGGCCGCAAGGCUAAAACUCAAAGGAAUUGACGGGGGCCCGCACAAGCGGCGGAGCAUGCGGAUUAAUUCGAUGCAACGCGAAGAACCUUACCAAGGCUUGACAUGUUCUCGAUCGCCGUAGAGAUACGGUUUCCCCUUUGGGGCGGGUUCACAGGUGGUGCAUGGUUGUCGUCAGCUCGUGUCGUGAGAUGUUGGGUUAAGUCCCGCAACGAGCGCAACCCUCGUUCCAUGUUGCCAGCACGUAAUGGUGGGGACUCAUGGGAGACUGCCGGGGUCAACUCGGAGGAAGGUGAGGACGACGUCAAAUCAUCAUGCCCCUUAUGUCUUGGGCUUCACGCAUGCUACAAUGGCCGGUACAAUGGGUCGCGAUACUGUGAGGUGGAGCUAAUCCCAAAAAGCCGGCCUCAGUUCGGAUCGGGGUCUGCAACUCGACCCCAU